ACCUAUAGAUUACACAGAUUGGAAUCUCUCGUCUCCGCUAUAGCGAUAUGCGAUAAUAUCUAUCGGCGGACGCGGAUCACGUGACAUUGAUUUUGGAGAUGCCGGUGUACCUGUAGAAUCUUCCCUGUUCCAGCUGCUGUCGGCCAUUUUCUUAUAAAGCAAACAAUUAUUCUUCGUAAUUAGUCGUUAAUAUUUGAUGUCGUAGGGUAUUCUGAGCAUGAUCUGAUCAAAAUGCCAAAAAAAAAGAAGAGAGCAGGUGUUUCUGGUCGGCGUCAUAAAUACCAUUAUUUAAAAAAGACAAAACAUGAAAGCAGUGAAAAUGUGAAUCCUGAAAUAAACUUUGAAUGUGACAGUAAACAGACAGUCCAGCGUGAAUUCACUGAUGUAAAUGUUCAAACCAUUCAGACAGAAUUUGAAGAUGCUAGUGUUCAAGCAAUACCUGAAACUAGUGAUAUAUCUGUGCAUACUAUAGAAAGGGAAUUUACACUGUUUUUCCCUUUUAUCUUGCAAAUGUGCUCUACAACUGAAUCCACUUGCUCUGUAUUAAUCUAAUGCUAUGAUUGUUAUUAUUGUUUUGUAUUAUACGCUUAAAUGUUUUAUUGUUGUAUGUCUUGGCCAUAAUUAAACUCAAAAACAUUGUGAAUGGCCAAAGGCGAAUAUGCUGAUUCGCCAAUAAAUGAUAGUGAUUAAAUAUUUAACAAGAAUUGCAGACUUCGCGAAGCUCAGAAAAUCUUCCAGACAGUCGGUCUGACAGGAUCCAUUAAACCGUCAGACCAAAGUAUUUAUAUAAAUUUUAUUUUAUUUAAUUUUUCCAGACAGUCAUUUGAACUAGCUCCUAAAAUCUGUCAGCUUGCUCAAAAGAAAUUUUGUCAAACAUGUCCACUGGGGACAGACAGCUUUCGCGAAGUAUGGAAUAUAUAUAUUUUUUGAUACUGUUUUUUCAUCAUGUGAUACUUUAAUGAAUGCCAUUAUUAAAGUCAUUUUUAACAGAUGAAA